rnacentral:rRNA from 1 species
AUGAUUUACACAUGGAAUCCAGAUGAUUAUGUUUCUUCAUCCCCCAAGUACUUCAAUGGUGGCUCCUUCCCGGUUGGCUCAAUUGCUGCUGGAUUUAGGUGGGUUGGCUCAAUUGCUGCUGGAUUUAGGUGGCCAAGUUUGAACGAAAAUUACUCAUUGACCGUAUGUCUAAUCGGUGUUUCUUUGUUUACAGAAAAACUAAUAUGUGAGGAUUAUCUCAGGUUUCUUUUUGAACUUGUAGUGUUACUGUACAUGAACUUGUGCAUUACCUUGUUAUCAAUUUAUGUGUAUGUGUGUUGGUAA